rnacentral:rRNA from 1 species
UACGUAGGGUGCGAGCGUUGCCCGGAUUUAUUGGGCGUAAAGGGCGCGUAGGCGGCGUGACAAGUCACUUGUGAAAUCUCCGGGCUUAACUCGGAACGGUCAAGUGAUACUGUCGUGCUAGAGUACAGAAGGGGCAACUGGAAUUCUCGGUGUAGCGGUGAAAUGCGUAGAGAUCCGGAGGAACACCAGAGGCGAAGGCGGCCUGCUGGGCUGCACCUGACGCUGAGCCGCGAAAGCCAGGGGAGCGAACGGG